CACGUAGGGUGCGAGCGUUGUCCGGAAUUAUUGGGCGUAAAGAGCUCGCAGGCGGUGUGUCGCGUCGGCCGUGAAAACCUGCAGCUUAACUGUGGGCGUGCGGUCGAUACGGGCAUCACUGGAGUUCGGCAGGGGAGACUGGAAUUCCUGGUGUAGCGGUGAAAUGCGCAGAUAUCAGGAGGAACACCGGUGGCGAAGGCGGCAUCCUGGACCGGCAGUGACGCUGAGGAGCGAAAGCGUGGGGAGCAAACAGG
rnacentral:rRNA from 1 species